CAGAUUAGAACUUAAAGUUAAGAUUUUCAUUUACACUGAAAUAAAUUAUUGUGCAAUUCAAUAUAAUCUGA
rnacentral:tRNA from 1 species